rnacentral:rRNA from 1 species
AGUGAACGCUGGCGGUAGGCCUAACACAUGCAAGUCGAACGGCAGCACAGUAAGAGCUUGCUCUUACGGGUGGCGAGUGGCGGACGGGUGAGGAAUACAUCGGAAUCUACUUUUUCGUGGGGGAUAACGUAGGGAAACUUACGCUAAUACCGCAUACGACCUACGGGUGAAAGCAGGGGAUCUUCGGACCUUGCGCGAUUGAAUGAGCCGAUGUCGGAUUAGCUAGUUGGCGGGGUAAAGGCCCACCAAGGCGACGAUCCGUAGCUGGUCUGAGAGGAUGAUCAGCCACACUGGAACUUAGACACGGUCCAGACUCCUACGGGAGGCAGCAGUGGGGAAUAUUGGACAAUGGGCGCAAGCCUGAUCCAGCCAUACCGCGUGGGUGAAGAAGGCCUUCGGGUUGUAAAGCCCUUUUGUUGGGAAAGAAAAGCAGCAGGUUAAGACCCCGCUGUUCUGACGGUACCCAAAGAAUAAGCACCGGCUAACUUCGUG